AGCGAACGCUGGCGGCAGGCCUAACACAUGCAAGUCGAGCGGGAACCCAGGAUGUGUUAGCGCCCGAGGGGGGAGUGACGCGUACGAACGUGCCCUUCGGUUCGUAAUACCUCUGGGUAAGUUGUACUAAUACCGAAUAUGUGCGAAUGCAGAAUAGGUCAUCUGCGGAAGGAUCGGCGCUCGUCUGACUAGCUGGUAGGGUAGGAUACGGCUCAUCAAGGCGACGAUCGGUAGCUGGGGUGAGAGGAUGACCAGCGACACUGGGACUGAGACACGGCCCAGACUCCUACGGGAAGCAGCAGUGGGGAAUAUUGGACAAUGGGGGGAACCCUGAUCCAGCCAGGCCGCGUGAGUGAUGAUGGCCUGAGGGUAGUAAAGCUCUUUUAUCCGGGACGAUAAUGACGGUACCGGAGGAAUAAGCACCGGCUAACUUCGUG
rnacentral:rRNA from 1 species